rnacentral:snRNA from 1 species
AAGUUCUACAACUUUUUUAGAAUUUGUCUAGCAGGUUUUCUGGUUUUUACCAGAAGACACCCCC